rnacentral:misc_RNA from 1 species
CAUAUGGAUGGACAUUGACUACAUGGAUGGCUUUCGCUGUUUCACAUUUGACCAGGAACGUUUUCCAGAUCCACAAUCUUUGGUGAAAGAUCUCCAUGAUAUAGGUUUUAAAGCAAUUUGGAUGCUUGACCCUGGUAUCAAAUGUGAAGAAGGUUAUUUUGUGUAUGAUAGUGGAAAUAAAGGUGAUGUUUGGAUUCAAAGAGCAGAUGGAAGACCAUUUAUUGGGGAGGUGUGGCCUGGGCCUUGUGUUUUCCCAGACUUCACACAAUCAAAAGUUCGCUCCUGGUGGGCUAGUCUAGUUAAAGAUUUCAUUUCUAAUGGUAUUGAUGGCAUAUGGAAUGAUAUGAAUGAGCCAGCUAUUUUUAAGACAGCAACAAAGACAAUGCCUGAAAACAAUAUUCAUCGAGGAGAUGAUGAACUUGGAGGUUGUCAAGAGCACUCAUACUAUCACAAUAUAUAUGGCAUGCUGAUGGCAAGAUCAACAUUUGAAGGAAUGAAAUUAGCUAAUGAAAAUAAGCGUCCCUUUGUUCUUACUAGAGCUGGAUUUAUUGGCAGUCAAAAGUAUGCUGCAACAUGGACAGGGGAUAACCUUUCAAAUUGGGAGCAUCUGCACAUGUCUAUCUCCAUGGUACUUCAAUUGGGACUCAGUGGUCAACCAUUUUCAGGACCUGAUAUUGGCGGAUUUGCACGAAAUGCAACGCCCAAGCUUUUUGGAAGGUGGAUGGGAGUCGGUGCAAUGUUUCCUUUCUGCCGUGGACAUUCUGAAACAGGCACUUUUGACCAUGAGCCAUGGUCUUUUGGAGAAGAGUGUGAAGAAGUUUGCCGUCUGGCUUUGAAGAGACGUUAUCGCCUUAUACCACACUUAUAUACUCUGUUUUAUGCUGCUCAUAUAAUGGGUACACCAGUGACAACUCCUACUUUCUUUGCUGAUACAAAAAAUCCUAGCUUAAGGACCCUUGAAAGUUCCUUCCUGUUGGGUCCACUUUUGGUUUAUGCAAGCACGAUUCUUGAUCAGGGAACAGACAAAUUGCAGCAUGACCUACCCAAAGGAAUCUGGUUGAGAUUUGAUUUUGAUGAUUCACAUCCGGAUUUGCCAACUUUAUACUUGCAAGGUGGAUCAAUAAUUCCUUUGGGGCCCCCUUAUCAACAUGUUGGUGAAGCUAAUUUGUCAGAUGACUUAACGCUCAUUGUAGCUUUAGAUGAAUAUGGGCAAGCUAAAGGUGUAUUAUUUGAAGAUGAUGGUGAUGGAUACGAAUUCACCAAGGGUGGAUUUCUGCUUACACGUUAUGUUGCUGAACUUCAAUCUUCAAUUGUUAUCGUUAGAGUUUCUGAAACAGAAGGAUCUUGGAAGAGGCCCAAAAGAAGUCUGCACGUGCAAUUAUUGCUUGGUGGAGGUGCAAUGGUUGAUUCAUGGGGCAUGGAUGGAGAUGUUGUGCAUAUUAUAAUGCCUUCGGAACAUGAUGUUUCUGAGUUGGUAGCAACAAGUGAGAAACAAUAUAGGAGUCAUUUAGAAAGUUCUAAGCAUAUCCCAGAUGUUGACGAGGUUUCAGCACCAAGGGGAGGAGAACUUUCUAAAAUCCCUAUUGAACUAAAAAGUGGUGAUUGGAUUGUUAAAAUAGUUCCCUGGAUUGGGGGUAGAAUUAUUUCCAUGGACCACCUUCCAUCAGGAACACAAUGGCUUCAUAGCAGGAUUGAGAUUGAUGGAUAUGAAGAAUAUAGUGGCUCUGAGUACCGGUCAGCAGGAUGCUCUGAGGAAUAUAAGGUCAUCGAGCGGGAUUUUGAGCAUGCAGGAGAGGAUGAAUCUCUAAUAUUAGAAGGUGAUAUUGGUGGGGGAUUGGUUCUUCAACGGCAGUUAUCAAUUCGAAAAGAUAAUCCAAAAAUUCUUCACAUUGACUCUAGCAUUAUAGCCCAGAAAGUAGGAGCUGGUUCUGGUGGAUUUUCCAGGUUGGUUUGCUUGAGAGUGCAUCCGUCCUUUAACCUCUUACAUCCCAUGAAAACUUUUGUCUCAUUCACUUCUGUUGAUGGAUCAAAGCAUGAAAUUCGACCUGAUUCUGGGGAUCGAUUUUAUGAAGGGAAUCUUAUGCCAAAUGGA